rnacentral:rRNA from 1 species
CAGUCGCCGCGGGAAUACGGAGGGUGCAAGCGUUAAUCGGAAUUACUGGGCGUAAAGCGCACGCAGGCGGUCUGUCAAGUCGGAUGUGAAAUCCCCGGGCUCAACCUGGGAACUGCAUUCGAAACUGGCAGGCUAGAGUCUUGUAGAGGGGGGUAGAAUUCCAGGUGUAGCGGUGAAAUGCGUAGAGAUCUGGAGGAAUACCGGUGGCGAAGGCGGCCCCCUGGACAAAGACUGACGCUCAGGUGCGAAAGCGUGGGGAGCAAACAGGAUUAGAUACCCCGGUAGUCCCUGUCUCUUAUAA